UGGGGAAUAUUGGACAAUGGGCGAAAGCCUGAUCCAGCCAUGCCGCGUGUGUGAAGAAGGCCUUUUGGUUGUAAAGCACUUUAAGUGGGGAGGAAAAGCUUAUGGUUAAUACCCAUAAGCCCUGACGUUACCCACAGAAUAAGCACCGGCUAACUCUGUGCCAGCAGCCGCGGUAAUACAGAGGGUGCAAGCGUUAAUCGGAAUUACUGGGCGUAAAGCGCGCGUAGGUGGUUAUUUAAGUCAGAUGUGAAAGCCCUGGGCUUAACCUGGGAACUGCAUCUGAUACUGGAUAACUAGAGUAGGUGAGAGGGGAGUAGAAUUCCAGGUGUAGCGGUGAAAUGCGUAGAGAUCUGGAGGAAUACCGAUGGCGAAGGCAGCUCCCUGGCAUCAUACUGACACUGAGGUGCGAAAGCGUGGGUAGCAAACAGGAUUAGAUACCCUGGUAGUCCACGCCGUAAACGAUGUCUACCAGUCGUUGGGUCUUUUAAAGACUUAGUGACGCAGUUAACGCAAUAAGUAGACCGCCUGGGGAGUACGGCCGCAAGGUUA
rnacentral:rRNA from 1 species